rnacentral:misc_RNA from 1 species
GAUGAAGAACGUAGCGAAAUGCGAUAAGUAAUGCGAAUUGCAGAAUUCAGUGAGUCAUCGAAUCUUUGGACGCACAUUGCGCCCUGUGGUAUUCCGCAGGGCAUGCCUGUUCGAGCGUCAUUUCAACCCUCAAGCCCCGCUUGGUGUUGGGCCCCGCCCGCCGUGGCCGGCCCUAAAGACAGUGGCGGCGCCGCCUGGCCCUCAGCGUAGUACAGCUCUCGCUCCAGGGUCCGGCGGCCGCCUGCCAGAACCCCCCAACUCUGUGGUUGACCUCGGAUCAGGUAGGGAUACCCGCUGAACUUAAGCAUAUCAAUAAGCGGAGGA